GCCAGGCAUGGUGGUACAUGCCUAUAAUCCUAGCAGCUCUGGAGGCUGAGGCAGGAGGAUCGAAAAUUCAAAGCCAGCAUCAGCAAAAGUGAGGCACUAAGCAGCAACUCAGUGAGACCCUGUCUCUA
rnacentral:sRNA from 1 species